rnacentral:lncRNA from 1 species
UCCGUUUGCGGGUGAUAAGCCGAACUCAUAAGCAGUUUGUCACACCCUAAUAAUCCCACAUCAGAUAGGAAUGGGGAUGUGAUUGGGUAUAUUAGAGACUUAGACACUAGUAAUAAUAACUGGGCUUAAGCAUUUUGGGCCAAUAGUUGGGCCCAACGAGUUAUUAUUGCUAGUGGGCUGGGUCGUUACACAGUUUGAUCCCCAUCAUCUUGAACAACUCCUGCCAUACUUGGCUUGUAAAAACUUUAUCCCUGUCGGUCAAAAUUGUCCUCGGUAACCCGUGUAGUCUAUACACCGUA